CUUGCACCUGGUGGCGAGUGGCGAACGGGUGAGUAAUACAUCGGAACAUGUCCUGUAGUGGGGGAUAGCCCGGCGAAAGCCGGAUUAAUACCGCAUACGAUCUACGGAUGAAAGCGGGGGACCUUCGGGCCUCGCGCUAUAGGGUUGGCCGAUGGCUGAUUAGCUAGUUGGUGGGGUAAAGGCCUACCAAGGCGACGAUCAGUAGCUGGUCUGAGAGGACGACCAGCCACACUGGGACUGAGACACGGCCCAGACUCCUACGGGAGGCAGCAGUGGGGAAUUUUGGACAAUGGGCGAAAGCCUGAUCCAGCAAUGCCGCGUGUGUGAAGAAGGCCUUCGGGUUGUAAAGCACUUUUGUCCGGAAAGAAAUCCUUGGUUCUAAUAUAGCCGGGGGAUGACGGUACCGGAAGAAUAAGCACCGGCUAACUACGUGCCAGCAGCCGCGGUAAUACGUAGGGUGCGAGCGUUAAUCGGAAUUACUGGGCGUAAAGCGUGCGCAGGCGGUUUGCUAAGACCGAUGUGAAAUCCCCGGGCUCAACCUGGGAACUGCAUUGGUGACUGGCAGGCUAGAGUAUGGCAGAGGGGGGUAGAAUUCCACGUGUAGCAGUGAAAUGCGUAGAGAUGUGGAGGAA
rnacentral:rRNA from 1 species